AGGCGAGAAAACUUUGCAAUGUGCGCAAGCACGACAAGGUUAAUCCGAGUGAUUCCUGCUAAAGGAAUCUUUUGUCAGUUAUAAUACCACUAAUGAAUAAGGGGUGGGCAAGUUCUGGUGUCAGCCGCCGCGGUAAAACCAGCACCUCAAGUGGUCAGGAGGAUUAUUGGGCCUAAAGCAUCCGUAGCCUGCUCUGUAAGUUUUCGGUUAAAUCCAUCAGCUCAACUGAUGGGCCGCCGAAAAAACUGCAAAGCUAGGGAGUGGGAGAGGUAGACGGUACUCGAUAGGAAGGGGUAAAAUCCUUUGAUCUAUUGAUGACCCCCUGUGGCGAAGGCGGUCUACCAGAACACGUUCGACGGUGAGGGAUGAAAGCUGGGGGAGCAAACCGGAUUAGAUACCCGGGUAGUCCCAGCUGUAAACGAUGCAGACUCGGUGAUGCCCUGGCUUGUGGCCAGUGCAGUGCCGCAGGGAAGCCGUUAAGUUUGCCGCCUGGGAAGUACGUACGCAAGUAUGAAACUUAAAGGAAUUGGCGGGGGAGCACCACAAGGGGUGAAGCCUGCGGUUCAAUUGGAGUCAACGCCAGAAAUCUUACCCGAGGAGACAGCAGAAUGAAGGUCAAGCUGGAGACUUUACCAGACAAGCUGAGAAGUAGUGCAUGGCC
rnacentral:rRNA from 1 species